rnacentral:rRNA from 1 species
GUGUCAGCCGCCGCGGUAAUACAUAGGGUGCAAGCGUUGUCCGGAAUUAUUGGGCGUAAAGAGCUCGUAGGUGGUUAGAUACGUCGGAUGUGAAAAUCAGGGGCUCAACCCCUGACCUGCAUUCGAUACGGUCUAGCUAGAGUGUGGUAGGGGAGACUGGAAUUCCUGGUGUAGCGGUGGAAUGCGCAGAUAUCAGGAGGAACACCGAUGGCGAAGGCAGGUCUCUGGGCCAUUACUGACACUGAGGAGCGAAAGCGUGGGGAGCGAACAGGAUUAGAAACCCGAGUAGUCC